UAGGGAAUCUUCGGCAAUGGACGAAAGUCUGACCGAGCAACGCCGCGUGAGUGAAGAAGGUUUUCGGAUCGUAAAACUCUGUUGUUAGAGAAGAACAAGGACGUUAGUAACUGAACGUCCCCUGACGGUAUCUAACCAGAAAGCCACGGCUAACUACGUGCCAGCAGCCGCGGUAAUACGUAGGUGGCAAGCGUUGUCCGGAUUUAUUGGGCGUAAAGCGAGCGCAGGCGGUUUCUUAAGUCUGAUGUGAAAGCCCCCGGCUCAACCGGGGAGGGUCAUUGGAAACUGGGAGUCUUGAGUGCAGAAGAGGAGAGUAGAAUUCCAGGUGUAGCGGUGAAAGGCGUAGAUAUAUGGAGGAACACCAGUGGCGGAGGCGGCUCUCUGGUCUAUAACUGACGCUGAGGCUCGAAAGCGUGGGGAGCAAACAGG
rnacentral:rRNA from 1 species